UGUGCGUAGUCGAUGACGAUCGAGUAAGCGUCGCAGCUCGUAUGGCCAUCGGCUCUACGGCCUCUUGACACCGUCGCGGCGUCGUCGCUCCGCUCGAGGUACGAGCGGCGUUUGAGUCCCAGUUCCUUCCGUUGCACCGGCGGCCUGGUCCCACCGCGAAAAGGAAAGCACGUGUAUCGAUCGCGGUACCGCCGGCUGUAGCAGUGCCCCUGCCCCUCAUCGCCCAGAUCCCCGACGACCUGCGCCCUGGAGAACUAACUGCAAGCCGAAAGACAAGUGCGGGUUGCGCACCAGCAUUUCGUUAACCAACGUUCGAGGAGGAAGUCAGUACUCCAACCGCCUCUGUCACGUAUCGACACGGUCGAUUUCUCUUCGGUACAUGCGUGACUUCUACUGACACAAGUGUUCCGAGGGUCCGUGUCAGUUGCAGAUCCUACCCUCGCUGGUCCAACGAGAGUACAGGGGUGUCAGGGUGAACGACUAAACAUUCAAAAAAUAAGUAUGGCUGACAGAAUUUACCAUCCGAACGCGGCGGUUGCUGCGAAUUCGCACUGCAGCAGCUUCAAACAGUAUCAAGAAUUUUACGAACAAUCGAUUGAAAGUCCCGAAAAAUUUUGGGGUCAGGUGGCCAAACAGUUUCACUGGGAGACACCGGUAAAAGAGGGAAAAUUUUGCUCGUACAAUUUCGAUGUGAGUAAAGGAGACGUAUUCAUCGAAUGGAUGGAAGGUGCCUCCACCAAUAUUAGUUUCAACCUUCUCGACAGAAACGUAAAGAAUGGAAACGGCGACAAGGUUGCCUUUUAUUGGGAAGGUAAUCAUCCAGAUGACUACUCUCGGCUUACGUACAGAAAACUGCUUGAAGAGGUCUGCAGAUUUGCCAAUGUCUUGAAAUCGAAAGGUGUAGCCAAAGGCGACUGCGUAGCAAUUUAUAUGCCAAUGAUUCUCGAAUUACCCAUAGCCAUGCUUGCGUGCACGAGAAUAGGCGCCACUCACAACAUUGUGUUUGCAGGAUACUCGUCGGAUUCACUGGCAGAACGAAUUCUCGAUUCAAAAUCAAAAGUCCUCAUAACUGCGGACGGCGUAUGGCGUGGUGAAAAGCUCCUGAAUCUGAAACGUAUAUGCGACGACGCUUUGGAAAAGGCAAAAAAUAACGGACACCAGGUAGAAAGCUGUAUAGUGGUAUCUCAUCUUCAAAGGCUCAGCAACACUAUGACUAAAUCAGAAUCCAGGGAAGGUGUCAGCGUAAAUGGUACAAAUGGAUCUACGAAUGGUACGCAAAAAAAUAACCCGCGAUCCGACGAUUUUGAGGUUGCUUGGAUAGAGGAUCGAGAUUUUUGGUGGCAUGAAGAGAUGGAAGACGUUGACUCUCGCUGUUACCCAGUAUGGAUGGCUGCUGAAGAUCCUUUGUUUAUAUUAUACACUAGCGGCUCGACGGGGAAACCAAAAGGAGUUCUCCACACUACAGCCGGAUAUCUCAUUUAUGCCGCCACGUCGUUCAAAUAUGUUUUCGAUUAUCAUCCGGGCGACGUGUAUUGGUGUACAGCUGACAUCGGAUGGAUCACAGGUCAUACUUACGUUGUCUACGGUCCAUUAGCGAAUGGCGCCACCUCUGUCCUGUUUGAAGGGACACCGUUUUAUCCGGACAAUGACAGAUACUGGUCAAUAGUGGAUAAAUAUAAGGUCACGCAAUUCUACACAGCACCGACCGUCGUGAGAUCACUCAUGAAGUUUGGAGAUGAUUUGCCAAAGAGACAUGAUCUUACGACUUUAAAGGUCCUCGGAUCGGUAGGAGAGCCCAUUAACUCCGAAGCAUGGCUGUGGUAUUACAACGUCGUCGGUCGUGGCAAAUGCAGUAUCGCCGACACAUUCUUCCAGACCGAAACUGGCGGUCACGUAAUCACGCCACUCCCAGGGGCGACACCCAUGAAACCCGGAUCCGCGACGUUUCCAUUCUUUGGCGUUUCACCAGAACUUCUAGACGAAGAUGGUACCGUGAUCAACGGCGAAGGUGAAGGUUUUCUGGUCUUCAGCAAGCCGUGGCCGGGUAUGAUGAGGACAUUGUUUGGAAAUCACGAAAGAUUUCAGUCAACGUAUUUCUCCAAAUUUCAUGGCUAUUACUGUACAGGAGACGCUAAUAUGGGUGCCUACUCAGAAGAGAAAGGAAAACGUUUUCACCAAGACGUGAUGAACUCUAUUCUUAUUAACGUUAUCAGGGGCGGCAUAACGAGAGCAUGAUGGGAAAUUAAGUUUCAGGUUUGAUAGAAGAAAGUCCAUACGAAAAUAGAAAAAGUGCGAAGCGAGACGCCGAUGGUUACUUGUGGGUGACAGGCCGCGUAGACGACAUGUUGAAUGUUUCCGGGCACUUGAUGUCCACUGCCGAAGUUGAGAGUGUCUUGAGCGAGCACGAAGCAGUCGC
rnacentral:misc_RNA from 1 species